rnacentral:lncRNA from 11 species
AUUAAAGAUACAGGGGCCCUUUUAAGUUUUCAGCCUAGCAAUCCUAUUUUUCACUGUAGUGAUAACAAAAACUAAAAAAACUACCUAGUGACAGAGACUUAACUCGCUACAGAGACCUUGAUGUGAGUAUUUCCAGAUUGAAGGAAUCGUGGCAUUUAAAGUCUGGUGAGGUCCUUGGGAGAUACCAGCAGACCUUGAGCAGAGAGGAACUGAGGAUUAAAUCCGUCUAAUCUUUUGGAGACACCGUUUAGGGUAAGUAUAGAUCAGGGCAGUGGAUUAGAGCUCUAUGGCAGAAAUCUUAAUCCCUCACUAAUGG